GAGGAAGGUGGGGAUGACGUCAAGUCAUCAUGGCCCUUACGACCAGGGCUACACACGUGCUACAAUGGCGCAUACAAAGAGAAGCGACCUCGCGAGAGCAAGCGGACCUCAUAAAGUGCGUCGUAGUCCGGAUUGGAGUCUGCAACUCGACUCCAUGAAGUCGGAAUCGCUAGUAAUCGUGGAUCAGAAUGCCACGGUGAAUACGUUCCCGGGCCUUGUACACACCGCCCGUCACACCAUGGGAGUGGGUUGCAAAAGAAGUAGGUAGCUUAACCUUCGGGAGGGCGCUUACCACUUUGUGAUUCAUGACUGGGGUGAAGUCGUAACAAGGUAACCGUAGGGGAACCUGCGGUUGGA
rnacentral:rRNA from 2 species